rnacentral:rRNA from 1 species
GUAGUCCACGCCGUAAACUAUGGAUACUAGGUGUCCGGGAUGUUAACCUCCUGGGUACCGUAGCUCACGCAUUAAGUAUCCCGCCUGGGGAGUACGGUCGCAAGACUAAAACUCAAAGGAAUUGACGGGGGCCCGCACAAGCGGUGGAGUAUGUGGUUUAAUUCGAAGCAACGCGCAGAACCUUACCUGGGCUUAACAUCCCAUGACAACCGCAGAGAUGCGGCUUUCCCUUCGGGGACAUGGAGAUAGGUGCUGCAUGGCUGUCGUCAGCUCGUGUCGUAAGAUGUUGGGUUAAGUCCCGCAACGAGCGCAACCCUUGUCCUUAGUUGCCAGCAUUAAGUUGGGCACUCUGAGGAGACUGCCGGUGUUAAACCGGA